rnacentral:rRNA from 1 species
CUACGUAGGGGGCAAGCGUUGUCCGGAAUCAUUGGGCGUAAAGGGCGUGUAGGCGGUUAACUAAGUCAGCUGUGAAAACCUAGGGCUUAACCCUGGGACUGCAGUUGAAACUGGUUAACUUGAGGGCAAGAGAGGAAAGUGGAAUUCCUAGUGUAGCGGUGAAAUGCGUAGGUAUUAGGAGGAACACCAGUGGCGAAGGCGACUUUCUGGCUUGACCCUGACGCUGAGGCGCGAAAGCGUGGGGAGCAAACAGGAUUAGAUACCCUGGUAGUCCACGCCGUAAACGAUGGGUACUAGGUGUAGGUGGUAUCGACCCCCUCUGUGCCGCAGCAAACGCAUUAAGUACCCCGCCUGGGGAGUACGUGCGCAAGCAUGAA